CGGUUAUAUCACGUUGAAAACACCGUUUCUAAACACCGGUUCACGUAGGAUUACCGAAGUUAAGCAGUGCCGAGCCUGGUCAGUAUCUUGAUGGGUGACCGCCUCAGAUUACCAGGUGCU